GAUGAAUCAAAGAAGGUAAUAAUCCUGUAGUCGAAAAUGUUGUCUCUCUUGAGUGGAUCCUGAGUACGACGGAGCACGUGAAAUUCCGUCGGAAUCUGGGAGGACCAUCUCCUAAGGCUAAAUACUCUCUAGUGACCGAUAGUGAACCAGUACCGUGAGGGAAAGGUGAAAAGCACCCCGGAAGGGGAGUGAAAUAGAACCUGAAACCGUGUGCUUACAAGUAGUCAGAGCCCGUUAAUGGGUGAUGGCGUGCCUUUUGUAGAAUGAACCGGCGAGUUACGAUUUGAUGCAAGGUUAAGCAGUAA
rnacentral:rRNA from 1 species